rnacentral:rRNA from 1 species
UGGGGAAUUUUGGACAAUGGGCGAAAGCCUGAUCCAGCAAUGCCGCGUGUGUGAAGAAGGCCUUCGGGUUGUAAAGCACUUUUGUCCGGAAAGAAAUCCUUGGCUCUAAUACAGUCGGGGGAUGACGGUACCGGAAGAAUAAGCACCGGCUAACUACGUGCCAGCAGCCGCGGUAAUACGUAGGGUGCAAGCGUUAAUCGGAAUUACUGGGCGUAAAGCGUGCGCAGGCGGUUUGCUAAGACCGAUGUGAAAUCCCCGGGCUCAACCUGGGAACUGCAUUGGUGACUGGCAGGCUAGAGUAUGGCAGGAGGGGGGUAGAAUUCCACGUGUAGCAGUGAAAUGCGUAGAGAUGUGGAGGAAUACCGAUGGCGAAGGCAGCCCCCUGGGCAAUACUGACGCUCAUGCACGAAAGCGUGGGGAGCAAACAGGAUUAGAUACCCUGGUAGUCCACGCCCUAAACGAUGUCAACUAGUUGUUGGGGAUUCAUUUCCUUAGUAACGUAGCUAACGCGUGAAGUUGACCGCCUGGGGAGUACGGUCG